UAAAGCAAUAUUUGUGAUCUACAACAGCC
rnacentral:sRNA from 1 species